GACGAACGCUGGCGGCGUGCUUAACACAUGCAAGUCGAACGGAAAGGCCCUGCUUUUGUGGGGUGCUCGAGUGGCGAACGGGUGAGGAACACGUGAGUAACCUGCCCUUGACUUUGGGAUAACUUCAGGAAACUGGGGCUAAGAUCGUAUAGGAGCUCCUGCUGCAUGGUGGGGGUGGGAAAGUUUCGGCGGUUGGGGAUGGACUCGCGGCUUAUCAGCUUGUUGGUGGGGUAGUGGCUUACCAAGGCUGUGGCGGGUAGCCGGCCUGAGAGGGUGACCGGCCACAUUGGGACUGAGAUAGGGCGCAGACUGCAACGGGAGGCAGCAGUGGGGAAUAUUGCACAAUGGGCGGAAGCCUGAUGCAGCAACGCCGCGUGCGGGAUGACGGCCUUCGGGUUGUAAACCGCUUUCGCCUGUGACGCAGCGGGAGUGACGGUAAUGAGUAAAGAAGCACCGGCUAACUACGUG
rnacentral:rRNA from 1 species